rnacentral:lncRNA from 1 species
UUUUCAGUUAGCACGAUUUUUGUUGUGUAAGCUUAGUUUUAGUGCAUCAAAGUGACAAUUAUGGCAUGACAUAAAUAUGACUAUGGCAUAUGACCCAUUACUCUUUAAAACUUUUGAGACACAACAUUUUAUGCCCUAAGUUAAUUGUGUUUUGUGAGAAAACUAUUAGAAGGAUUAAAUUGUGUUUUUGUUAUUUUUUGGAUUUAGGUUAAUGUUUUUGGUUAGGACAAGAUGUUUAAUGCAAUACUAUAUAUAACAGUGCGCUUAAGUCGUGGGGGUUUGUAACAAAUGUCUGGCAAAAAUAAAUGGCUUUCUGGCCAGCCAAAUCCGACUGCAUAGGGGCCUCUAUCUUCUUUUGGCAACGAUAUCGAUGAGGGAUAUAUAUAUAUAUAUAUAUAUAUAUAUAUAUAUAGCCCCCUUCCAUUGAGGGAGUACAAUUUAGUUACUCAAUGGCUAUUGUGUUCAACAAAACAAGAAAACCAGCGACAUAGUAUCUUCUGGAGUACAUGCACUAUCAAAGAAAUGCCCAUGUCAUUGAUAAUAGACAGUGGAAGUUGCGAGAACUUCGUCUCAAAGAAAGUGGUGGAACACUUCAAUCUUCUUACUACGAAACAUAGGGCUCCAUAUGCCAUUGGAUGGAUCAAGAAAGGCCCAGAAGUUCGCAUCACCGAAACAUAUAAAGUGCCAAUUUCAAUUGGGAAAUUCUAUCAAGAUGAAGUUGAACGUGAUGUGGUAGACAUGGACGCCAGCCACAUACUUCUAGGCAGACUGUGGCCGCAUGAUGUCAACACUAUCCACAAUGAAAGAGAAAACACAGUAUUGUUCAUAUGGGAAAAACACCAUAUUACUUUGAAGCCUAAGACCAAGCCUACAAAUUUGGUUUCACCAAAACAGUCUAACUUUCUUAUUGUUGUUGAACCUGGUGAAAAGGUGGAAGAACUUGUGAAGGAUGCAGAAGCUAUUUAUCCUUUGGUAGUUAGGGAAGUAAUGGUGGCUGAAAGCAACAAAGAGGAGAAGAAAAUUCCAAAAGAAGUCCAGCAAUUACUGCAGGAUUUUGAAGAAUUAUUGGAUGAUGAUUUUCCAAAUGAACUACCUCCUAUGCGAGAUAUUCAACACCAAAUCGAUCUUGUCCCUGGGGCUAAUUUACCUAACCUCCCUCAUUAUCGGAUGAGCCCUAAGGAGAACGAGAUACUUAGAGAGAAAAUUGAAGAGUUGCUGCGAAAAAGACACAUUCGAGAAAGCAUGAGCCCUUGUGCAGUGUCUGUUUUGUUAGUACCAAAGAAGGAUGGGAGCUGGAGGAUGUGUGUGGACAGCCGUGCAAUCAACAAGAUCACAAUAAAAUAUCAGUUUCCGAUUCCUUGACUUGAAGAUAUGUUGGAUGUCCUAGGUGGCUCAGUAGUGUUCUCUAAAAUUGAUCUAAGAAGUGGAUAUCAUCAAAUUCGAAUCAAACCAGGCGAUGAAUGGAAGACGGCAUUCAAAAGCAAAGAUGGGCUCUAUGAAUGGUUAGUCAUGCCGUUUGGAUUAUCUAAUGCACCUAGUACUUUCAUGAGAGUGAUGAAUCAAGUCCUGAAGCCUUAUAUUGGGACGUGUGUGGUGGUAUACUUUGACGACAUACUAAUCUACAACAAGAGCAAGGAAGAACACUUGCAACAUCUGCGCAAAGUUCUUCAAGUUCUCUAAGAAAAUAAGUUGUACGUGAACUUGAAGAAGUGCAGCUUCAUGACCAAGAAGCUUAUGUUUUUGGGUUUUAUUGUUAGCUCAAAAGGUAUACAUGUUGACCAAGACAAGGUGAAAGCAAUUCAGGAAUGGCCUACACCUAAAACUGUUGGUGACGUACGAAGUUUUCAUGGAUUGGCAACCUUUUAUCGCCGCUUUGUGCUAAAUAUCAAUGCUUUCACUGCACCAAUAACCGAAUGUCUGAAGAAAGACAGAUUUCAAUGGGGUGAAGAAUAGGAAAAGAGCUCUGCCAUGAUUAAGUACAAGUUAAGCACAGCACCGGUACUAGCUUUGCCUGAUUUUGACAAGAUUUUUGAGGUAGAAACUGAUGCUUGUGGAGUAGGAAUAGGGGCUAUCUUAUCUCAAGAAAGAAAGCCAGUGGCGUAUUUUAUUGAGAAGCUUAAUGAAGCUAGGCAAAAGUGGAGUACAUACGACCAGGAGUUCUAUGCGGUUGUUUGUGCCUUGAAGUAAUGGGAGCAUUAUCUAGUGCAGAGGGAAUUUGUGCUAUACACCGACCAUCAAGCCUUGAAAUAUAUCAACAGUCAAAGAAGUGUGAACAAAAUGCAUAUCCGGUGGGUUACUUUCCUACAAAAGUUCCCUUUUGUGAUCAAAUACAAGUGUAGAACACUUAACCGUGUUGCAGAUGCGUUAAGUCGAAGAAGCCAACUAUUGGUUACACUUUCUCAAGAGGUUAUUGGGUUUGAAUUUUUGAAAGAGUUUUAUGAGGAAGAUGAAGACUUCAAAGAAAUUUGGGCCAAGUGUGUGAAGCAAGAACCCUGCAACGACUUCUUCAUCAAAGAAGGGUAUCUUUUUCAAGGAAAUAGAAUAUGCAUACCAAGGUCUUCACUUAGAGAGAUGUUGAUUCGAGAAUUACAUGGAGGUGGCUUAAGUGGACAUCUAGGUAGGGAGACAACUAUAGCGAGUCUGGAGGAGAGAUAUUAUUGGCCUCAGCUGAAACGAGAAGUGGGAAACAUCGUCCGUAAGUGUUACAUCUGCCAAUCUUCUAAGGGACGAUCUUGAAAUACAGGACUCUAUACGCCUCUGCCAGUACCUAAGGGAAUUUGGGAAGACCUCACCAUGGACUUCAUAUUAGGGUUACCUCAGACACAACAAGGAGUUGACUCUAUAUUUGUGGUAGUGGAUAGGUUUUCAAAGAUGGCACACUUCAUACCAUGUAAGAAGACAUCUGACGCUUCUCACAUUGCAAGAUUGUUCUUUAAAGAAGUGGUCUGUUUGCAUGGAAGUGCCUCAGUCUAUUACUUCUGAUCGAGACCCCAAGUUUCUAAGCCAUUUUUGGAUUACUUUGUGGAAGAUAUUUGGGACUACGCUCAAUCGAAGCAUUACCGCUCAUCCACAAACCGAUGGACAGACCGAAGUUACUAAUAGAACAUUGGGGAAUAUGAUUCAGAGUACUUGUGGAGACAAGCCAAAGCAGUGGGAUGUUGUUUUGCCUCAGGUUAAGUUUGCCUAUAACAGUUCAGUUCACAGCUCUAUUGGAAGGACACCAUUUUCAGUGGUGUAUGUUUCACCUCCUAAACUUGUGGUUGACUUGGCUUAUGUUCCAAAGGGUAAGGAUUUUAGUGAAGCGGCUACGUCAAUGGCAAGAGAAGUGCAGGGAGUCCAAGAUGAGGUUAAGCAGAAACUGAAAGUUACUAAUGAGAGGUACAAGGCUAUUGCAGAUUCUCAUCGGAGUGAGAAGAUUAACGAAGGAGACACUGUGAUGAUUUUCUUACGAAAAGAAAGGUUUCCUAUUGGCACCUACAGCAAGCUCAAGCCCAGGAAGGAUGGACCGUACAAAAUUAUCAAGAAAAUCAAUGACAAUGCAUAAGUCAUUGAUCUGCCAGAUACUAUGGGAAUAUCCAAGACCUUCAACGUUAGUGACAUACAUGCCUACCAAGCUGAUGAUGAUGACGUUUUCUAUCCUGACAUAUACUCGAGGUCGAGUUCUUCUAAAGUGGAGGAGACUGAUAUAGAACAGCUUGCGCAAACAUUUGAGACACAUCUUAAUAGGAAGACAAAGAAAACAAAGUCAAAGCAGCAGCUUUGAAUCUGCAAAGCAGUAGCUUUGUUCCUGUCAAGACCCACCCAGAAUUUCACCCUGAAACCCGAAGUAAAUCCUGCGGGGACCACCUCCAAGGAAAGUUUACCAAAAAUUCGACAUAACAUCUCUUGAAAAUGGACAACCCUUUCUAUUAAUACAUGCAUACACUUCUGAAAAUCCAAAUCCAACCUUAAACUCUUGGAGCCUUCGUGCUCCCCAAAACACAACAUCUCCCAAUUUAUUUACUAACUCUAACAAUGGAAGCUGGGUUGGAGGCCGACCGAACGGGACCGGUGCGGUGGCGGUUGGUGGCCGGACGGCGGUGAACGGUCGGGUUGAAGUUCCGGCAGGGUGAUGGCUCGAGAGGAAAACCGGGAGAGAGAAAGAGAAAAGAAAGAGAGGGAGAUGGGUUUGGGCCUCUCCAAACCGGUCCAACACCUAUAUACCCACACCAACUCCAAAAUAAAACACCCCGAAAAAUAAAUACCCUAAUAAAAAUUACCUUUUACUAGCUAAAAUUUACCAAUUUUACCAUCGUCAUAUUUUUCUCCUAUGAAGAAUUCUCCGAAAUAAUCGUCCCUCAAAACCCCUCUAGGGACCAAUUAAACCAUAACUUAUUGACGGAGACGGUAAAAUUCUUAUUAAUACCAAGCUAGUAAAUAAGGUAAAAUUUUAAGGGUCGGGAUGUGACAAUUCUUCCCUCAUAAAAAUUUCGUUCUCGAAAUUUACAUACCUAACAAUCAAAGAGAUAGAAAUACUGCUGCCUCAUUUGCUGCUCUAACUCCCAAGUAGCUUCCUCUACUUGAUGACUUCUCCAAAGCACCCUGACAAAUGGGAUUGACUUGUUCCUAAACAUUUGCUCCUUUCGGUCAAGAACCUGUACCGGCUCCACAUCAUAAGUCAAAUCCUUCUUCAAACUAAUUGGCUGCUCUUGCAACACAUGAGAGGGAUCAACAAUAAACUUGCGAAACAUGCAUGGAUAUAUGAAACACAUUAUGUAUCUUGGAUAACUCCGGAGGCAAAACUAACCGAUACGCAAGAGAGCCAACUUGAUCUUAAAACCCAUAAGGACCAAUAAAUCUCGGACCAAGCUUUUCACGUUACCAAAACGUACCACCCCUUUCCAAGGAGACAAUUUUGAAAACACCCAAACACUCACUUGAAACUCAUGGUCCUUCCCGCGGACAUCUUUAAAACUCUUCUGGCUACUAAGAGCUGCCUUGAGUCUAUCUCUGACUCCUUUAACCUUUUCAUUUGAAUCCUGAAUUAUUUUAAAUCUUCUCGAAGACUCUAAAUCAUUCAUUGAACUACCACUAAGGUAUGCACACUCUUUCUUGAGCAAUGGAAAUAGUUAACCCAAAUAAAACGCAUACAUUUACUAUCACCAUCGGGCUAAAAUCUCCUAACAUCACGUAACAACCUCGUCAUUACGCUGCUCACAAACUCAACAAUGAAGCCCACUUGCAAGGAAACUAAAGUUCAAGUUCACGCACUCCCACAUGCUCAUAGGGGUCAAAAUUAAGACCUGCUAAUUGAACAUAUUUAAGGAUGCACACACUGCAUAACUGUAACAAUCACUUCUAAUACCGAGACACUUCGCAGAGUCUUUCGCGGAGUCAAAGCUCUCGCAAGUCCACAAGACAACCUUGCUCUGCCUAAGUGACCAGUCCACCAACAGAUGAUAACCUCGAUUCUCGAAAUGACAUUAUGAAAAGAUCAAUACCACGUCACUUAGGUCUCUCCACCAAAACUAUUACAUUACCAUUUUAUGCACCACAAACUAGCAGCUUAUGGGAAUUCCAACUCUCUCCUGAUUCUGCUAUCUCCACUAUUCUCUUUACCACAAACCAGAAGAUAAUCUGAAGCAUGACUAUCAUGUGGAAAUUGGAUAUUCCUCCUUGCUCGCCAUAAACAAAAAUGACAAAUAAUGCCCACGAAGAUUGGCACAGUCAAUUCAUGAUGCCAAACUUGACGUUGAAAUCCACAUAAAUAGAACACCUUCCUUAAGCAUUGACAAAAUUUACAUCUCCAGCCAUGCUACUUAUUCGGGUGCAAUCGCGACCCCAAGAGCAACAUUUAAAAACACACGGCUCACUCUAGCCAUUCCACAAUAAUGAUUCUAAAUGCCAAAACCUUUGAACCCGACAAACACACCUCUUUUUCUACCUCUAACAACAAUAAAUCUGAUAGCAGAAAACAAUCUGUAAAUCAGACAUGCUCAAGUCUCCUACACCUUCCAGGGCCACGGCUUCCCACCAAAAAGAUUCUUCGAUAACCGAGCUUGCAAUAACAUGCGACUAACAAAAGCAAAGAUACAUUUUUUUAUACAAGACCCACUACUACACCUUGUGGUUCACCAACCAACCAUGAAUUCAAGCAAGAAUCAAAACUCAUGGCUAAACUCAGCUCAAGUUCCAGAAGAAAUAACCUAAAGCACACGAAAGGCAAGUCCUCUAACUUCGAGCUCAAAAGCUCCACAAAUCUCCGAUAUUCGCCAGAACCCGUUUCAAAAUCGCACUAGAAACCUCAACUAAUCAUCCUGACACCAACGGAUGUACGCACAACCAAAAAGCGAAGACCUCCCAAAUCAAACUUGGAUCAAUGAGUGGUCCCACCACAAAACGAUCCCGAGAAGAGACGUUGAUUAACCUAUCCAUAUAUCUACUACUCACAAAUUAAAUCUCUUAAUAAACCUUGACUCGAAAUGCUUCUUGAGUCAACAGGGGAAAACCCUCUUCCAAUAGGCUACACAUAAAAAAAAAUAUACCUACAACGACACAAACCAUUUAUUCAACAUCACCACGCAACUCACAAACUACCCCACAGGACUUACGGCUCAAAGAUUCAUCGCUUAAUUGAACUCUAGCUCACUUGGGAUCACCACUGGAUAUAUCCCUAAUCCACGACUACGACACAAAUACCAGUUUAACAUUUACCUCAAAACUUCGACAAAAUAACCAGAAUCUCUAACCUUCAAAUCGUAGCGUUGAAUUCGUACUCCAUAAAUUUCAAGCUCUGAGGAUGCUACCCAAAAACUACAGUAGGAAUAAUUUAUAUAUUCCCACACACACCACAACCAAAAACUCUGCUCCAUCUCACCAAAUUAGAAAUAAGGUGAGUGAACAGAUCCUCCCAGUGAGGUGUCGUAGCUAGUCACCAAGAGCUAACGAAGUGAUGUCAAUAAACCAACUUCGAUCACAAAUUCAAGACUUAAAUCAGCCACCCGGAACGACACUGCUAAAAAAAAAAAUUACUUUGGACACCCACGCACUCUUGCUCUAUGAUCCAGUGUGUUUUAUUCCACUGCUACCACUUCCACAAACUCCACACAACUGCUAUAGAAUACCUAUGACAACACGUAAUAAAUUCACCAGGUGUUGUUGUAAAACUGGAGUGACCACAACCAUCCCACUCUCACUCCACCAUUGCUUUUCAAUUCCAUCUAAAUUUAUCAUCUUCCCAAAACACUCAACAAAACUAGAAACCAAACUUCAACACCUAGAAUUCCGAAAGAAUCCAUACUGGCCCCACGAUUAAAAUAAUAUAACCGUCACUUCAUAAUUCCAAACUUGCUUGAAACUCAAAACAUUUAGUGCCACCAAUCAAUUUCUAAAAUUCCCCGACUGCGGCACAACAACAAGUUGUCACAACGCACUGACCAAUGACUUUUGUAAGGCCAACAAUCCAAAGAAUUUUAAUCUUGGAGUCAAUAUGUUGAACAUCUCAACUAACUUCAACUAAUCCAUCUUUUAGACGAAAGUCAUCAAAAAUCUUACUAUUCAUCGACUGCUAUUAACCUCCUUCUCCAAAAUGCUCUAAUUAUACUCUUUAAUAUGAUGAUUCCAAGGAUAAGAACAUAUCCUUAAUUAGAGCUAUAUGGCCAGAACAUGCGCCACCAUAACAAGCAUUAACCACAAAAAUCCCAACUGACUUUCGCUGCGGAGAAAGCAGUUGAAAUUUGGUCAUCAAUCCAGACUUCUCUAAAUUGAUAGCCUUUUUAUUAGCCACAAAUCCCCCGUGACUAAUUAGCCCAAAAUUAAAGUCAUCAACAACUUGAAUAGGUACCUCUUUGAAUUACUAUGGGUACCUCACCACAUCACUUCAACUAACCUUUACAUCUAUAUAUAGAAAUACACUACUUCGAACUUUUCUUCUAACUCUUUGCUCCAGAAACCACGUAACUCGAUGCCAAGAUUUUCCAGACUACUACAACUUCACACUUCCCCACUAUAACUAGUGAACUCCAAGGCUUGAGUUAAACUUUUCACCUUCUACCCAUUCGCACGAGAUGCUCACCCUAACAUCUUAAUCAUAACCCAAACAAUCAUUGAUCACAUGAAAGGAAUGCUGCCACGCAUAUGAGUUCUCAUCUCGUACUUGAACGCUAACAAUUUAUGAUAUCAACUCGAUAACCCUUGAAAAAGGCAUAAACCAAACACCUCCUUCCCUAAUCAAAGCAGGAUGAUCACUUCAGAGGUCAGCAUACGGAGGCAUAGUCUUGAAGAUAUACACAUUUAUGGACAAUACUAUCCAUAGAUAAGAUAGGAACAACUACAUCACAAACCUAAUCAACACAUAGUGUCUAAAACAUAUAAUGCUAAUAGAUCCACCGCGAUCGGACCAUCACUCUAUAGACACUAAGUAUGACCAAGAAUAUGAGGUAGUACUAAAAAGAGAAAGGAAUCGAAUAUCCUAGUGACCCACCCCGAAUUUCACCCUGAAACCCGAAGUAAAUCCUGCGGGGACCACUUCCAAGGAAAGUUUACAAAAAAUUCGACAUAAUCUCCCUUGAAAAUGGACAACCCUUUCUAAUAAUACAUGCAUACACUUCUGAAAAUCCAAAUCCAACCUUAAACUCUUGGAGCCUUCGUGCUCCCCAAAACACAACAUCUCCCAAUUUAUUUACUAACUCUAACAAUUUAAUCUCAUAAUCAACAACCACAGUUCAGAACAACUCUAUUUGAAAGGAGAUGAACUAGAAAUAUACUGAGCGGAAGCUAUACUAUUGACUAUGCCUCUUCUCCAUGUACGCCCGACCUCAACUAUGCAAUCCUACAAACUGGGCAUUUUUAAAACGAAGAGCCUAGGGGAAAACAUUUGAAAACACGUUAGAGUGAGUGGACAAAAAUAAAUUAACGAAUAAAAUAUUUAUGUUUUCCCAAAUCAAUUUCCAAGGAAAAUCGAAUGCAUGCUGCAAGCGAUAAAACUUUUAUCUCAUAAAUAUCGAGCCUCUCAGGCUCUAUAAUAUAUGUAUGUAUUUACAUACGUCCAUACUCCCUAUAUAAAUUCAUGGGUCUAUAUAGGGCUACUACGCUCGCGUCCAACGCUCACGUCACGCCUUAAUGCGGUGUUACACUAUGCCAUUAAGGUGGACAGACAGGUGUAUAAAUAUGUGCCCAUACCCCCUAUAUGAAUUAUACACUCAUAUAGGGCUACUACGCUCGCGUCCAACGCUCACGUCACACCAUAAUGCGGCUAUAUGCUACGCCAUUAAGGUGGACAGACACAUAGGGCUAGCUAGCUGUUAUAUACAUACUCUUUGAUAAUUACAUAUUUAUUUCGGUAACUCUUCAAGAGAAAUAAAAUGGUCAAAAUUAAAAUGACGUCAAAAUGCUCCACAACAUUAAUUGUUCAUUCAUGAACCAUAGCAUGCAUAUUAAUUAAAACAAAAGUCCACUCACAACUUUAGGCAUAAGCCCGACGAAAUCCAAAUCGCCACUCCAGUGAGGUUUCCUCGAACCCUGGCACAAAUAUAUAAUUAAUUUCCCAACUAAAAAUCCAAUAUUUAAACAAAAUAGGCAAGAUUAACCGAGAGCCAUACUCACACUCAUCAUUGCCUAACUUCGAUACGGUCCACACCUCAACACUAAAACCAGCAGCCUUAACUACACCCUUUCACAGAUUAUACAACUUUAAUCCAACGGCCGGAUUCUACCUUAUUAAUCCGCCAAAAUUACCAAACUUCGGAAAUUCACAAACCUAUCCAAAACUCAUCCAAAAAUUCCAUAAUUCAUAUCAAUAAACUCCCCUAAAUAUUCCACAUUUAAAACCAUAAAAAUCUCCCACACAGCGGCGGCCGGAGGCCGACUCCGGCGACCUCCAAUGCCUAUGAAAUUUUGACAGCAUCUUCCUCUCAACCCCCUCUACAACUUUCCUAACUAGUACAAACAUCAAUUCCAAGCCUAACUAGGUCAAUCGAGCAAAAACAUCCUGAAAGCCCUAGAAAAUUCAACUCCACAUUUCUCCUUACCUAGCUCAAGAGAGGAUGAGACCUUUGGAGGGGUUGCUGCAUGGGAGGAGGGCUCUCUUUUGAGCCAAGCAGGUCCAGCUAUGGCGGCCGAAUGAGGAAGUUCCGGCGAGAAAACCACAACAAGAGCAGGACCUUUCGGGGGUGAGAACUCCUUCACGGCGGAGCUAGGGCGGCUCUCACCGGCCUAGAAUGGAAGCUGGGUUGGAGGCCGACCGAACGGGACCGGUGCGGUGGCGGUUGGUGGCCGGACGGCGGUGAACGGUCGGGUUGAAGUUCCGGCAGGGUGAUGGCUCGAGAGGAAAACCGGGAGAGAGAAAGAGAAAAGAAAGAGAGGGAGAUGGGUUUGGGCCUCUCCAAACCGGUCCAACACCUAUAUACCCACACCAACUCCAAAAUAAAACACCCCGAAAAAUAAACACCCUAAUAAAAAUUACCUUUUACUAGCUAAAAUUUACCAUUUUUACCAUCGUCAUAUUUUUCUCCUACGAAUAAUUCUCCGAAAUAAUCGUCCCUCAAAACCCCUCUAGGGACCAAUUAAACCAUAACUUAUUAACGGAGACAGUAAAAUUCUUAUUAAUACCAAGCUAGUAAAUAAGGUAAAAAUUUAAGAGUCGGGAUGUGACAGUUCCUGCAUAUUUUCUAUCAGCAUUAGGAUUACUUUACUUUCUAUGUUUUCAUUAGGAUUUAAGUUUUAUUUAGAAUAAAGGAUUCCUAGUAAUUAAGUUUAUUUCUAUGCCUAUAUAAGGCCCUUGCUAGAUUGUAUUUUAAUUCAAGUUAUCAAUAAGAAAACCCAAAAAAAAAAAAUUAGAGUAGAAACUCUUGUGUUUUAGGC